rnacentral:tRNA from 1 species
GGAAAGAUGGCAGAGUGGUUUAAUGCAUCAGUCUUGAAAACUGUCGUAGCUUAAAACUACCGGGGGUUCAAAUCCCCCUCUUUCCU